rnacentral:lncRNA from 1 species
UAGGGUAUAAUUUGUUAGUAAUUUUAUUAUUAAUUUCCCCUUCUAUCCAGGACAAAUAUUGUGUUAAUUGUUGAUAUUCACUCAUAUUUGGUAUUUGGACCCAAUUCCAGGAGUGGAGCAGAUAAGUACAAAAAGAGGGACUUUUGGAUGCAAAUUUGGGAGACUUUGGCAGAGAGAACUUGAAGGCUUGGGCCUUUGACUUCGGUGGGGACCACGGAGGAAAGGACAAAAAAGGCUUUGGUCCUUUGGUUCUUGAAAAAAAAGCAACGUACAAAAGCCUAAGAGGACUAAGAAGAAAGGCGGUAGCUUGUGACCAAUCAGUGGGGACCGCUGGAUAUCUUUCUUUUGUUUCUUUUUAAAGGCAACUAACGUACGGAGGCAGGGGACCGUUUUUUAGUUCAGCUUCUUAGCCUAGUCUUUAGUUUUUAGUUUUUCUUUCUUUUUUCCUUUGACUGGCCUCUGACACACGCCAGGUGUUCGACAAAAUUCCCCAACGGGAAAAACAUCCUUCAUUCCUUACUUUUUAGCCAAAAACAAUGCCUUCGCAAUUUAUUAAUUCGUGUGGUGACUUAAUUAUGCGGCGUGGCUAAAUCUUCCAUCUA